GUGUACGUGGGUACAUGCCGAUUCCGAGCACCGGCCGCGCCCGCCUGGCGGCUGCUCGCUACGUGUUAUCAGCC
rnacentral:sRNA from 1 species